CCAAACCUUUCUCCUAACGCUUUUCACCCUCGUCUCUAAAGAACUCUAGAGAUGCCGCCCCUCAAUUUCCCAUUUGCCAGUGGCGGCGCCGGUCGCAAAUGGCCCCAAUUAACACCACAAAACCCUCAUGUCUCCCUCUCCUCUAAUCUACAAUUGUUUUCCUUCGAAUCUUAAACGGAUGACAUGAACCUUUUUAUCCCAAAACUAAGUCAAUGGGACUUGGGAAGAUUUGAAGUUGAAAUCGACUUUAUUCAUGUGUUUUCGUUUGAAAACACAUGAUUAAAGCCCAUUCGGUUAAAAUUUAAAGUUCAAGAGUUAAUUUCAAGAUUUGGCCGUCCAAUUUUAGGUAUUUUUACUACCUAUUCUUGCAUGUUUUCCUUUUUUUCGUUUAAUUUCAAUUUUAUCUUUUUUCUACAUCCUUUAUUCUUUUCUUCAUUAUGUGUCCAUUUGUUCAUUUAUUCUAUUUCUUCAUAUUUAUCUUAAUAACCAUUUUCGCUCAUUUAUUUUGUCAAUUAGUUCAUUUCCAUUUCUCUGCUGUUUAUGGUUCCAUUCUUAAAAGGUUUCCAGAAUUUUCUAUUGGGGAAGUUUUGGUCAGUCCUUUAAAUUGUGAAUUCUUUAUUAUAGUUUGAAUUACACUCUAAAAAUCAAAAAGCCCAAAAAGGGAUUUAACCUGGAUUUACAUAUCUAUAACACUUUGAAUUGGGUCAAUUUGACCCACAUCUGGUGUGGUUUCAGGGGUAAUAACAGGGGUAUUGAAGGGUAAAUUUGGAAAUCUAGGUAGAGAAUCUCUUGUAACUGACUGAAGGAAGCUUCUUAGAAGCUUUCCUUAGGACCUAAAUGAAAAUUGAUUUUUAAGUUAAGGGUAUUAGAGCAAGAAUGAAAUUGAAAAAGGUUUCAAGUGCAAAACUAAAUGCAAUUCUUCAGCCCUUAAACCUUGCCUAUAAAGGCACAUUUUCUUCAAGCUCAAAUCAAAAAAUUGAGAGAUAAAAAAACUCCUAAAAAUUGAAAUGGCAAAAGACUCUGAAAUAUCUUUGAAUUCUCUGUAUUUUCUUGCUGAAAACUGCUCGAAUUUUGGUUGGUUUUUGAUUUCUUAUCUUCAUUUCUUAGUGAAAACUACUGAAAAAUGACAAAGUUUUGCACCUGGGUUGAAAUGGAUUGUUUUUUGGAUUUUUUAAAAGUCUUGGCUUGGAGUUUUUGGCUAUUGUUUGUACUGUUUCAUUGUUGAGUUGGGGCUGAUUUCUAUUGCUGCUUCUCAUUGUUGAUUUCCGCUACUGCUGCUUCCUCUUGAUCUCCAUCUUGAUAUUCUGAUUUUAUUUUGCUAUAAUUAGGUAGUUUUCCAAAAUCAUUAUCAACAAGUGAUGUAUUUUGAGUUGUAGCCUGACUGAAUACGAGGUGAUGAGUAAUUCUCUAGAUUUUGUUACUGUUUGGUAUUGAGAAAGAGUUAGUUGGUUUGAAGUUUCAUGUUGUGUUUUUGUAAGUUUAGCCUAGUUUGAAUCCACGCAUGAAUGUUUGUUAGUAUGAGGUUGUGUUCUUAGUAGUAUGCAAAGUUUCCUGAUGUAUUAGCUAUUGGGUAGUGAUGAGAUUUAUCAGUAUCUGUUGAGUGUAAAGGGUUGUUUUGCUUUAACAUGGACUCGAUGUUUAGUCUAGAAUCCUCAACCUUGUUUUUUACAGGGUUUGGGCUAAUUGACCUUGGAUUCUGAGGUCAUUUACAACGGAAGAUUGCAUGUUAUUGCUAUUUGGGCUUGUUUUCUCGAGCCUAGUAGCUCAUUCAUUUGGCUGCUGUAUUUUUCUGGUAGCAGAUUUUACCCAAUAAUGCAUGAAAGAUAAAAUUAGAAAUUUAUCUUAGUUAAUUUAUGUUGAAUGUUUAAAAUCAUAGUUUAAGUUUUCCAAUUCGAUCUCCUGUUCCAUGUUAGCAUCAGUUUGAUUUGCAUUAUUUGAUUUGGGUAUGAAUCAUUUGGAUC
rnacentral:lncRNA from 1 species